AACGAACGCUGGCGGCAUGCCUAACACAUGCAAGUCGAACGAGACCUCCGGGUCUUGUGGCGCACGGGGGCGUAACGCGUGGGAACCUGCCCUUAGGUUCGGUAUAACUCCCUGAAGGGUGUGCUAAUACCGGUUAAUGUCAUCGGACCAAAGAUUUCUUGCCUUUGGAUGGGCCCGCGUUGGAUUAGCUGGUUGGUAGGGUAAAAGCCUACCAAGGCGACGUUCCAUGGCUGGUCUGGGAGGAUGAUCAGCCGCACUGGGACUGAGACACGGCCCAGACUCCGACGGGAGGCAGCAGUGUGGAAUAUUAGACGAGGGGCGAAAGCCUGAUCCAGCAAUGCCGCGUGAGUCAUGAAGGCCUUAGGAUUGUAAAGCUCUUUUACCCGGGAUGAGAAUGACAGUACCGGGAGAAUAAGCACCGGCUAACUCCGUG
rnacentral:rRNA from 1 species